AGAGUUUGAUCCUGGCUCAGAUUGAACGCUGAUGCUUUACACUGCAAGUCGAACGGUAACAGGUUAAGCUGACGAGUGGCGAACGGGUGAGUAAUGCAUCGGAACGUGCCCGGUCGUGGGGGAUAACGCAGCGAAAGCUGCGCUAAUACCGCAUACGAUCUGAGGAUGAAAGCGGGGGACCAAGGCCUCGCGCGAUCGGAGCGGCCGAUGUCAGAUUAGGUAGUUGGUGGGGUAAAGGCUCACCAAGCCGACGAUCUGUAGCUGGUCUGAGAGGACGACCAGCCACACUGGGACUGCUCACCAAGCCGACGAUCUGUAGCUGGUCUGAGAGGACGACCAGCCACACUGGGACUGCUCACCAAGCCGACGAUCUGUAGCUGGUCUGAGAGGACGACCAGCCACACUGGGACUGAACACGGCCCAGACUCCUACGGGAGGCAGCAGUGGGGAAUUUUGGACAAUGGGCGCAAGCCUGAUCCAGCAAUGCCGCGUGCAGGAAGAAGGCCUUCGGGUUGUAAACUGCUUUUGUACGGAGCGAAAAGGUCUUCCCUAAUACGGGAGGCUGAUGACGGUACCGUAAGAAUAAGCACCGGCUAACUACGUGCCAGCAGCCGCGGUAAUACGUAGGGUGCGAGCGUUAAUCGGAAUUACUGGGCGUAAAGCGUGCGCAGGCGGUUUUGUAAGACAGGCGUGAAAUCCACGGGCUCAACCUGGGAAUGGCGCUUGUGACUGCAAAGCUGGAGUGCGGCAGAGGGGGAUGGAAUUCCGCGUGUAGCAGUGAAAUGCGUAGAUAUGCGGAGGAACACCGAUGGCGAAGGCAAUCCCCUGGGCCUGCACUGACGCUCAUGCACGAAAGCGUGGGGAGCAAACAGGAUUAGAUACCCUGUAGUCCACGCCCUAAACGAUGUCAACUGGUUGUUGGGUCUUUACUGACUCAGUAACGAAGCUAACGCGUGAAGUUGACCGCCUGGGGAGUACGGCCGCAAGGUGAAACUCAAAGGAAUUGACGGGGACCCGCACAAGCGGUGGAUGAUGUGGUUUAUUCGAUGCAACGCGAAA
rnacentral:rRNA from 1 species